rnacentral:misc_RNA from 1 species
AUUUUUUUUUUUUGAUACAAAUUGCAGUUUCUUUUUCUCUUCUGGUUCAAAGUAAUAAGAAUUGUGUUCUGUAUUAUUCGGGAAAACAAGGAUUAUCAUUAUUGACUGUCAUCAUGGUUACUUUCUUCUAUAUAGAUUGUGUUGAGACAUUACUAUGAUAAUAAUUAAGCUUUCAACAUCCUUGCCUUUUUAUUCCCAUUUUGCGUGUAAAAGUUAUCCUUUUUUUUUGUCAUUUGCCUGACAAACUUGUGCUUAUUAUGAUGUUUUCUUCUAUUGUGUUUUACUGUGUUUCAAGACAUGCUUAUUCAGUGUUCUAUAGGUCAAUGACAUGUUACUAAGAGCUAAAUGAUUAGUAGAAUUUUAUAGAACUUGCAUAUCUUCUUAAUCUCAAACAAUCUUGAUGGUUUUCAGUCUCUAUCAAAGCCAUAUUGCUCCUAUCUUCUCAUGAUCUAUGUCCUGUGACUCGCUGUUACUUUCUAUAGUUUACUAUUACACAAUGAGUUUGGUGCCACGCGUUGGUUUUUUCAACUCACACUUCUAAUUCAGAUUUUUUGCUGCAUAUGCUUUGCAUUUUGCUAAUCUUUCUAUUCAUGUCUGUAUAUGGUAUAUAUUGUCCAUCACUCCAUAGUUCAAUUUAAGGAAGUAGUUCCUUAGAUAUUUGAUACCACAGAGUCAGAGUCCUCUUUCUCCUUGCUUUGCGUGGACUUUUUAUCAAACCCGCAAAUAGCUGUCUUUUGCUUACUGAAAUAUCUAGUGGCUUUCGUGUCUUCUUGCUUUCAAGAAUCAAUCUCUUUCAUUCUCAUUUUCAAGAGUUGAAACAUUCAAAUCUUCUUUCUCUAACAACUAGUGCAAGUUGUAUUCAUAUUGAAUACGGAACACACACA